UACGUAGGGUGCAAGCGUUAAUCGGAAUUACUGGGCGUAAAGCGUGCGCAGGCGGUUUUGGAAGUCAGAUGUGAAAUCCCCGGGCUUAACCUGGGAACUGCGUUUGAAACUACAAGGCUAGAGUGUGGCAGAGGGGGGUGGAAUUCCACGUGUAGCAGUGAAAUGCGUAGAGAUGUGGAGGAACACCGAUGGCGAAGGCAGCCCCCUGGGUUAACACUGACGCUCAGGUGCGAAAGCCAGGGGAGCGAACGGG
rnacentral:rRNA from 1 species